AUACGUUUACAAGUCUCCACCGCC
rnacentral:siRNA from 1 species